rnacentral:rRNA from 1 species
UACGUAGGGUGCAAGCGUUAAUCGGAAUUACUGGGCGUAAAGCGUGCGCAGGCGGUUUUAUAAGUCUGUCGUGAAAUCCCCGGGCUUAACCUGGGAAUGGCGAUGGAGACUGCAAGGCUAGAGUUUGGCAGAGGGGGGUAGAAUUCCACGUGUAGCAGUGAAAUGCGUAGAGAUGUGGAGGAACACCGAUGGCGAAGGCAGCCCCCUGGGUCAAGACUGACGCUCAUGCACGAAAGCGUGGGGAGCAAACAGG